CUUCUGUAGCCUGGUGACCACUGCCACCUUCUGCCCUCAGCAAGAGCCUAGGUGUGGAUACAGGAAAAAUUAAGUUAUCAUCCUAAGACAAUGAGUAUGGUGAGAUAUCAUGCAUGUGAUUAUGUUAGGUCACAAAGCAAAAGGGAUUCUUGUGAGAGGUAAUUAAGGUUACAAAUUAAAUAAACUUGAGUAAUCAAAAGGGAUAUCCAAGUGAGCCCAAGCUGAUUACAUGAGACUUUUAAAAGCAGUAGAGUUUUGUCCAGUUGGAAGCAUAAGAAAUCCGAGACAUUGAAAGAAUAAGGACAUGGUGUGCCACCGAUGCAUUGAAGUUGGUGGGGCGAUGCCAGAAGGAAUAUGAGCAGCCUCUGAGAGAAGAAGCCAGCCUUUCUUUAGCAGUCAUCAAGGAAAUGAAGACCUCAGGCCUGCAUCCACAAGGAACUACAUUCUGAAAACAGCCUGGAUAAUCGUGGAAAAGGAUUCUUCCCCAGAACCUCCAGUACCAGCCAUAAACUCGUCUCAGUUUGGCUUUACAUUACUUCGUUUCCUGCAGCUGGCAUUGGCUGAGAAUAGGGAAGCCUUCAUGAAGAAAGCAGCAUGGCAUCUGGCCUUUGAAGGAUGGACAGAAUUUGGUCAUAUGAAAAUUGGUGUGAAGGGAGGGAAGAACAUUUCUUACAGAAGCUCUUCAGAUGGCUCGUGGGGUAUAAGGAGGACCUACUCACUGUGUGACACAGGAAAAAAGGGAAUUUCCUGGCUUCUGACAUGCCCCUGGGUGUGUCCUGACUGCCAUCUGAGGUGUGCACAUUCUGCAGUGUCUACAUUUAACCUUGGUGUCUGUAGAACUGUAGUCUUCUCUUUCUCCUUGGCUCUGCCAGGGCUGGGGCACCCCUCCACAUGCAGUGUUUUUUGCCGCUGUCUUCGGUAUGGCAUCUGCCUCUGAGCUCAUGUCCUGUCCCCUCUAGGUCCUGGAUGAGGCUACCAUCCCUGAG
rnacentral:lncRNA from 1 species